GUAACUAAGGAGGAAGCACUCAGGCCAAAGAGAGGGCAACCUCAGGCUGCCUGUUGCGGCUGCCAUUCUGAGCACGGGACACCUUCAUGGCCCUUUUCACUGCUGGCUCUCUCCGAUCAGACCAUCCCACAGUAGCCUCAGAAACAGCCUCACAGACCUAGUGUGUGUGUUUCCAUGGUGAUGCUAGGUCCCUACAGGCUGGCCGUGAAGAUUCACCACAGCAAGGAGGUGCUAUGGAUACUCCAGAGUUGACUUAAGGCACGUGAGAGGAGUUCGUAGGGUACACGCAAACACCAGCCUCUUUACACCAGAGUCGUCCGAAUCUUCGGGGUCCUGGAAUCAGGACCUAGGAUCGAUUCUGAGGGACAGCUAUCCAUGAAAAAAAAUUUUUUCCUCCCACUCCAUCACAACAACCAAAUCCCUGUCCCAAGCACAGGUGAUGUUAUUAACCAUCAGGUG
ensembl:lincRNA Gm45142 predicted gene 45142